UACGUAGGGUGCGAGCGUUGUCCGGAAUUACUGGGCGUAAAGAGCUCGUAGGUGGUUUGUCGCGUUGUCCGUGAAAACUCACAACUCAAUUGUGGGCGUGCGGGCGAUACGGGCAGACUGGAGUACUGCAGGGGAGACUGGAAUUCCUGGUGUAGUGGUGGAAUGCGCAGAUAUCAGGAGGAACACCGGUGGCGAAGGCGGGUCUCUGGGCAGUAACUGACGCUGAGGAGCGAAAGCGUGGGGAGCGAACAGG
rnacentral:rRNA from 1 species